rnacentral:rRNA from 1 species
UCUUCCUACGGGGGGCAGCAGUCGGGAAUAUUGCACAAUGGAGGAAACUCUGAUGCAGUGACACCGCGUAUAGGAAGAAGGUUUUCGGAUUGUAAACUAUUUUAGACAGGGAAGAAAAAAGACAGUACCUGUAGAAUAAGCUCCGGCUAACUACGUGCCAGCAGCCGCGGUAAUACGUAGGGAGCAAGCGUUAUCCGGAUUUACUGGGUGUAAAGGGAGCGUAGACGGCAUGGCAAGUCUGGAGUGAAAGCCCGGGGCCCAACCCCGGGACUGCUCUGGAAACUGCCAUGCUAGAGUGCUGGAGG